GACGAACGCUGGCGGCGUGCUUUACACAUGCAAGUCGAACGGUGAAGGUGGAGCUUGCUCCGCCGGAUCAGUGGCGAACGGGUGAGUAACACGUGGGCAACCUGCCCCUAACUUUGGGAUAACUACUCGAAAGAGUAGCUAAUACCGGAUAUGAAGUCUGUAGGCAUCUACGGAUUUGGAAAGUUUUUCGGUUAGGGAUGGGCCCGCGGCCUAUCAGCUUGUUGGUGAGGUAGUGGCUCACCAAGGCGACGACGGGUAGCCGGCCUGAGAGGGCGACCGGCCACACUGGGACUGAGACACGGCCCAGACUCCUACGGGAGGCAGCAGUGGGGGAUAUUGCGCAAUGGGCGAAAGCCUGACGCAGCAACGCCGCGUGCGGGAUGAAGGCCUUCGGGUUGUAAACCGCUUUCAGCAGGGAAGAAGCGAAAGUGACGGUACCUGCAGAAGAAGCACCGGCUAACUACGUGCCAGCAGCCGCAGUAA
rnacentral:rRNA from 1 species